rnacentral:rRNA from 1 species
CCUACGGGAGGCUGCAGUGGGGAAUAUUGCACAAUGGGGGAAACCCUGAUGCAGCGACGCCGCGUGAGCGAAGAAGUAUUUCGGUAUGUAAAGCUCUAUCGGCAGGGAAGAAAAUGCCGGUACCUGAGUAAGAAUCCCCGGCUAAAUCCUUGCCAGCAGCCGCGGUAAUACGUAGGGAGCAAGCGUUAUCCGGAUUUACUGGGCGUAAAGGUUGCGUAGGCGGCCUUCCAAGUCCGAUGUCAAAUACCGGGGCUCAACCCCGGGGCUGCAUUGGAAACUAGCAGGCUGGAGUGCCGGAGAGGCAGGCGGAAUUCCUAGUGUAGCGGUGAAAUGCGUAGAUAUUAGGAGGAACACCAGUGGCGAAGGCGGCCUGCUGGACGGUGACUGACGCUGAGGCUCGAAAGCGUGGGGAGCAAACAGGAUUAGAUACCCCUGUAGUC